CCUACGGGUGGCUGCAGUGAGGAAUAUUGCACAAUGGGAGAAAUCCUGAUGCAGCGAUGCCGCGUGCGGGAUGAAGGGGCUUUGCCUCGUAAACCGCUGUCGGAUGGGACGAAAGGGUGUUUUGAACACCUGGGACUGUACCAUAAGAGGAAGGGACGGCUAACUACGUGCCAGCAGCCGCGGUAAUACGUAGGUCCCGAGCGUUGUCCGGAAUUACUGGGUAUAAAGGGUGCGCAGGCGGUCUUGUGCGUCAGAAGUGAAAUAUCACGGCUCAA
rnacentral:rRNA from 1 species